rnacentral:tRNA from 1 species
CCGUAGCUCAGUUGGAUAGAGCGCUGGCCUCCGAAGCCAGAGGUCACAGGUUCGAAUCCUGUCGGGU